rnacentral:rRNA from 1 species
AACGAACGCUGGCGGCAGGCCUAACACAUGCAAGUCGAACGCCCUAGCAAUAGGGAGUGGCGCACGGGUGAGUAACGCGUGGGAACGUGCCUUUCAGUCUGGAAUAACUGCGGGAAUCUGCAGCUAGUACCGGAUAUUCUCUACGGAGGAAAGAUUUAUCGCUGAAAGAUCGGCCCGCGUUAGAUUAGGUAGUUGGUGGGGUAAUGGCCUACCAAGCCUACGAUCUAUAGCUGGUCUGAGAGGAUGAUCAGCCACACUGGAACUGAGACACGGUCCAGACUCCUACGGGAGGCAGCAGUGGGGAAUAUUGGACAAUGGGCGCAAGCCUGAUCCAGCCAUGCCGCGUGAGUGACGAAGGCCUUAGGGUUGUAAAGCUCUUUUGUCAGGGAAGAUAAUGACGGUACCUGAAGAAUAAGACACGGCUAACUUCGUGCCAGCAGCCGCCGUAA